UUCUUGGUCAUUUAGAGGAAGUAAAAGUCGUAACAAGGUCUCCGUUGGUGAACCAGCGGAGGGAUCAUUACCAGAGAAAUUGAAUCUCUAUUCUGUGAACGUACUACUGGUAGUUGCCUUGGCGAGCAGCUCCGGGGAGGAGCCUCUACCAUUUAUGGUGCUCGCCAAUUGCAGUAAAUACAUGGACUUUUGGCUACGAAAACUCCCAAAAAGAUUUACAAAACUUUCAACAAUGGAUCUCUUGGCUCUGGCAUCGAUGAAGAACGCAGCGAAACGCGAUAUGUAAUGUGAAUUGCAGAACUCAGUGAAUCAUCGAAUCUUUGAACGCACAUUGCACUACUUAGUAUUCUAGGUAGUAUGCCUAUUCGAGCGUCAUAACAAAUCGCCUAGGCUCUAUGCCUAGUAAUAGAGGAUUAUAGCUGCUAUAACCUC
rnacentral:misc_RNA from 1 species